UGGGGAAUUUUGGACAAUGGGGGAAACCCUGAUCCAGCCAUCCCGCGUGUGCGAUGAAGGCCUUCGGGUUGUAAAGCACUUUUGGCAGGAAAGAAACGUCAUGGGUUAAUACCCCGUGAAACUGACGGUACCUGCAGAAUAAGCACCGGCUAACUACGUGCCAGCAGCCGCGGUAAUACGUAGGGUGCAAGCGUUAAUCGGAAUUACUGGGCGUAAAGCGUGCGCAGGCGGUUCGGAAUGAAAGAUGUGAAAUCCCAGAGCUCAACUUUGGAACUGCAUUUUUAACUACCGGGCUAGAGUGUGUCAGAGGGAGGUGGAAUUCCGCGUGUAGCAGUGAAAUGCGUAGAUAUGCGGAGGAACACCGAUGGCGAAGGCAGCCUCCUGGGAUAACACUGACGCUCAUGCACGAAAGCGUGGGGAGCAAACAGG
rnacentral:rRNA from 1 species